rnacentral:hammerhead_ribozyme from 1 species
GUCCAGAUGACGAGUCUCAAAUAGGACGAAAUGCAUGUUGUCCGGGAU